UUCGGAAAAAACCUCCCAACUUGCCAUCGCAGAUGUCUAGAGAGAGUUGUGUGCCUUCGGGCAUGAGAGACAGCUGUUGCAGGUGGUGGUCAUCUCGUGUGUGUGAGAGGUGGGGUGAAGUCUUCCAACAAGGGCAACACCCUUCUUUUUUUGUCACCACCUAUGGGUGGGCACUUUAAGGAGACUGCCGGUGAUAAACCGGAGGAAGGUGGGGAGGACGUCAAGUCAUCAUGGCCCUUAUGGCCUGGGCUACCCACGUGUUACAAUGGUCUGUACAAAGGGUAGCCAACCCGCGAGGGUAAGCCAAUCUCAUAAAACCCGUCCUAGUCCGGAUUGCAGUCUGCAACUCGACUCCAUGAAGUCGGAAUCGCUAGUAAUCGCGAUCAGCAUGCGCGAUGCC
rnacentral:rRNA from 2 species